UACGUAGGGGGCGAGCGUUGUCCGGAUUUACUGGGCGUAAAGCGCGUGUAGGCGGCGCCUUAAGUCAGGUGUGAAAGCCCGGGGCUCAACCCCGGAGUGUCGCCUGAAACUGGGGUGCUUGAGGACGGAAGAGGGGAGUGGAAUUCCUGGUGUAGCGGUGAAAUGCGUAGAUAUCAGGAGGAACACCCGUGGCGAAGGCGGCUCCCUGGUCCGUUUCUGACGCUGAGACGCGAAAGCGCGGGGAGCGAACGGG
rnacentral:rRNA from 1 species